UACGAAGGGGGCUAGCGUUGCUCGGAAUCACUGGGCGUAAAGGGUGCGUAGGCGGGUCUUUAAGUCAGGGGUGAAAUCCUGGAGCUCAACUCCAGAACUGCCUUUGAUACUGGGGAUCUUGAGUUCGGGAGAGGUGAGUGGAACUGCGAGUGUAGAGGUGAAAUUCGUAGAUAUUCGCAAGAACACCAGUGGCAAAGGCGGCUCACUGGCCCGAUACUGACGCUGAGGCACGAAAGCGUGGGGAGCAAACAGG
rnacentral:rRNA from 1 species